GAUAAUUUAAGGUCUAACCUGCCCACUGAGAUUUUAAAUGGCCGUGGUAUUUUGACCGUGCUAAGGUAGCAUAAUCAUUAGUUUUUUAAUUAAAAACUGGAAUGAAAGGUUGGAUAAGAAAAUAGCUGUCUCUGUUAAAUUUAAUUAGAAUUUUAUUUUUAAGUUAAAAAGCUUAAUUAUUAUUAAAAGACGAGAAGACCCUAUAGAGUUUAAUUAUUUAAUAAAAAAUAUAUUUUAGUAUUUAUUUAUUUAUUUUAUUGAAUAAUUUAAUUGGGGUGAUUGAAAAAUUUAUUUAACUUUUUUUAUUUUAAAACAUUAAUUUAUGAGUAUAUGAUCCAAUAUUUUUGAUUAUAAGAUAAAAUUACCUUAGGGAUAACAGCGUAAUUUUUUUAGAAAGUUCAUAUUAAAAAAAAAGAUUGCGACCUCGAUGUUGGAUUAAAAUAAAUUUUUGGUGUAGAAGCUAAAAAUAUUAGGUCU
rnacentral:rRNA from 1 species